rnacentral:rRNA from 1 species
AGUGAACGCUGGCGGUAGGCCUAACACAUGCAAGUCGAACGGCAGUACAGUAAGAGCUUGCUCUUACGGUUGGCGAUUAGCGGACGGGUGAGGAACACAUCGGAAUCUACUUUUUCGUGGGGGAAAACGUAGGGAAUAACACGCUAAUACAGCAGAUGACCUACCGUAAAAAGAAGGGCAUCUUCGGACCUUGCUCGAUUGAAUCAGCCGGUGGCGGAUUAGCUAGUUGGCGGGGUAAAGGCCCACCAAGGCGACGAUGCGUAGCUGAACUGAGAGGAUGAUCAGCCACACUGGAACUGAGACACGGUCCAGACUCCUACGGGAGGCAGCAGUAGGGAAUAUUGGACAAUGGGCGCAAGCCUGAUCCAGCCAUACCGCGUGGGUGAAGAAGGCCUUCGGAUUGUAAAGCCCUUUUGUUGGGGAAGAAAGGCCGCAGGUGAAUACCCCGCUGUUCUGACGGUACCCAACCAGUAAGCACCGGCUAACUACGUG